rnacentral:rRNA from 1 species
AGAGUUUGAUCCUGGCUCAGAACGAACGCUGGCGGCGCGUUUUAAGCAUGCAAGUCGAGCGGCAAGGGCCUUCGGGCCCCUAGAGCGGCGGACGGGUGAGUAACACGUGGACAAUCUGCCCCCCGGCCCGGGAUAGCCCAGGGAAACCUGGAUUAAUACCGGAUGAGACGGGACCCGCGAUGGCGGGACCCGGGAAAGGCGCUGCGGCGCCGCCGGGGGAUGAGUCUGCGUCCCAUUAGCUAGACGGCGGGGUAACGGCCCACCGUGGCGACGAUGGGUAGCCGGCCUGAGAGGGUGGACGGCCACAUUGGAACUGAGACACGGUCCAGACUCCUACGGGAGGCAGCAGCUAAGAAUCUUCCGCAAUGGGCGAAAGCCUGACGGAGCGACGCCGCGUGAACGAAGAAGGCCGUGAGGUUGUAAAGUUCUUUUCGGGAGGGGGAACAACCGUGGCAGGGAAUGGCCGCGGGAUGACGUGAAUCCCGGAAUAAGCCCCGGCUAACUACGUGCCAGCAGCCGCGGUAACACGUAGGGGGCGAGCGUUGUUCGGAAUCAUUGGGCGUAAAGGGCGUGCAGGCGGUCGUGCAAGUCCGGCGUGAAAGACCCCGGCCCAACCGGGGGGACGCGCUGGAAACUGCAGGGCUUGAGUACAGGAGGGGAUGCCGGAAUUCCAGGUGUAGGGGUGAAAUCUGUAGAUAUCUGGAAGAACACCAAUGGCGAAGGCAGGCAUCUGGCCAUGUACUGACGCUGAGACGCGAAGGUGCGGGGAGCAAACAGGUUUAGAUACCCUGGUAGUCCGCACAGUAAACGAUGUGCACCAGGUGGCGGGGGGUCGACCCCCGGUACCGUAGCUAACGCAUUAAGUGCACCGCCUGGGGAGUAUGCUCGCAAGGGUGAAACUCAAAGGAAUUGACGGGGGCCC